AGGAUGAACGCUGGCGGCGUGCCUAACACAUGCAAGUCGAACGUCCUGUCUCGCAAGAGGCAGGGAGUGGCGGACGGGUGAGUACCACGUGGGUCAUCUACCGUGAGGUGAGGAAUACCGGCGAGAAAUCGCCGACAAGACCGCAUAGGCUCGAUGCAAGUCGAGCAAAGCUCUUUCGAGAGAGGGAGCGCCACACGAGGAGCCUGCGCCCGAUUAGCUAGCUGGUGGAGUAAUGGUUCACCAGGGCGACGAUCGGUAGCUGGUCUGAGAGGACGAUCAGCCACACUGGGAUUGAGAACGGCCCAGACUCCUACGGGGGGCAGCAGUGAGGAAUUUUCGCAAUGGGGGCAACCCUGAACGAGCAACGCCGCGUGCAGGAGAAGGUUUCGGAUCGUAAACUGCUUUUCUCGGGAAGAGAACGGACGGUACCCGAGGAAUCAGCCCGGCUAACUACGUGCCAGCAGCCGCGGU
rnacentral:rRNA from 1 species